UGCAAGGGCACUCUGUGUCACAUUGAUAACUACAAGUGGAACAAUUUGUAACCUUGCUAUAACAAUAUUUGAUAUCUUGAAAUUUCGAAAACCAUUAA